rnacentral:rRNA from 1 species
GUCGAGCGACUGGCUUAAGAGCUUGCUCUUAUGAAGUUAGCGGCGGCCGGGUGAGUAACACGUGGGUAACCUGCCCCUACGACUGGGAUAACUCCGGGAACCCGGGGCUAAUACCGGAUAACAUUUCGAACCGCAUGGUUCGAAAUUGAAAGGCGGCUUCGGCUGUCACUUAUGGAUGGACCCGCGUCGCCUUAGCUAGUUGGUGAGGUAACGGCUCACCAAGGCAACGAUGCGUAGCCGACCUGAGAGGGCGAUCGGCCCCCCUGGGACUGAGACACGGCCCACACUCCUACGGGAGGCAGCAGUAGGGAAUCUUCCGCCAUGGACGAAAGUCUGACGGAGCCACGCCGCGUGAGUGCUGAAGGCUUUCGGGUCGUACAACUCUGUUGUUAGGGAAGAACAAGUGCUAGUUGAAUAAGCUGGCACCUUGACGGUACCUAACCCCAAAGCCACGGCUAACUACGUGCCAGCAGCCGCGGUAAUACGUACGUGGCAAGCGUUAUCCGGAAUUAUUGCGCGUAAAGCGCGCGCAGGUGGUUUCUUAAGUCUGAUGUGAAAGCCCCCGGCUCACCCGUGGAGGGUCAUUGGAAACUGGGAGACUUGA